rnacentral:rRNA from 1 species
AUUGAACGCUGGCGGCAGGCCUAACACAUGCAAGUCGAACGGUAACAGGAAGACGCUUGCUUCUUUGCUGACGAGUGGCGGACGGGUGAGUAAUGUCUGGGAAACUGCCUGAUGGAGGGGGAUAACUACUGGAAACGGUAGCUAAUACCGCAUAACGUCGCAAGACCAAAGAGGGGGACCUUCGGGCCUCUUGCCAUCGGAUGUGCCCAGAUGGGAUUAGCUAGUAGGUGGGGUAACGGCUCACCUAGGCGACGAUCCCUAGCUGGCCUGAGAGGAUGACCAGCCACACUGGAACUGAGACACGGUCCAGACUCCUACGGGAGGCGGCAGUGGGGAAUAUUGCACAAUGGGCGCAAGCCUGAUGCAGCCAUGCCGCGUGUAUGAAGAAGGCCUUCGGGUUGUAAAGUACUUUCAGCGGGGAGGAAGGGAGUAAAGUUAAUACCUUUGCUCAUUGACGUUACCCGCAGAAGAAGCACCGGCUAACUCCGUG